AGUCUCAUUAAAUCAGCAUGUUUUUCAACCGUCUUACAUUUUUCUUCAAGCUGUGUGCUUCGUUUGCUCUAUAAUUGACAGGAUUCCCUCAUUCUAUCUUCAAUUAUUUGAACAAAAGGACUAUCCCCAGACUGAUCUUUCUCUCUCCGUCUCACUCUUCCUCCCUCAAGCUGUACAGGGAAGUUAAUUUGGUGAUGAUGGCAACGGAGGUCUUGGGAGGCUAAUAGCUUUUUCAGAACGUCAUGGAAACACUAUCGUAGAGCCUUCCUCUGGGAAUGCAAAAAUGCAUUUGUGGCGCUCUCCCAUUCACCGCUCUUCAAGUUAACCCAACUUUGAUGACUUCCGCCGAGGAGAAACCUGGAAAUGCGCGUGGCAGAACAGAGCACAGCAUAUGCAUUUGAAUUUUGUACUUUCUUUAAACGACCAAUCAUUUUAGGACCCUUAUUCGUCGUCUUAUAUUGUAUCUAGCCCUUUGUAGCUGCACUGAAACUGUAAUUUUGACCUUCGACAGUCUGGAGUCCACUGAAGUGAACUAAAUCCUGAAAUGUUUUCAUCAAAAAAAAUGUUUUCGA